GCAUAUCAAUAAGCGGAGAAAGAAACCAACAGGGAUUGCCUUAGUAGCGGCGAGUGAAGCGGCAAAAGCUCAAAUUUGAAAUCUGGCGCCUUCGGUGUCCGAGUUGUAAUUUGAAGAUUGUAACCUUGGGGUUGGCUCUUGUCUAUGUUUCUUGGAACAGGACGUCACAGAGGGUGAGAAUCCCGUGCGAUGAGAUGCCCAAUUCUAUGUAAGGUGCUUUCGAAGAGUCGAGUUGUUUGGGAAUGCAGCUCUAAGUGGGUGGUAAAUUCCAUCUAAAGCUAAAUAUUGGCGAGAGACCGAUAGCGAACAAGUACAGUGAUGGAAAGAUGAAAAGAACUUUGAAAAGAGAGUGAAAAAGUACGUGAAAUUGUUGAAAGGGAAGGGUUUGAGAUCAGACUCGAUAUUUUGUGAGCCUUGCCUUCGUGGCGGGGUGACCCGCAGCUUAUCGGGCCAGCAUCGGUUUGGGCGGUAGGAUAAUGGCGUAGGAAUGUGACUUUACUUCGGUGAAGUGUUAUAGCCUGCGUUGAUGCUGCCUGCCUAGACCGAGGACUGCGAUUUUAUCAAGGAUGCUGGCAUAAUGAUCCCAAACCGCCCGUCUUGAACACGGACCAA
rnacentral:rRNA from 1 species